AGCUUUGCAGAAUGCCAACAUUGUAGUCAGUGAGGUUUAUCUGAGGCAUAAAUGAUUAUAGCUAAUUAAAAACUUUUCCCAAUACCCUGCCAUGAGGACUUGAAAUACAGUUGGCAUUGGCAACUCCAUAUUUCUCUAUGGAGA